UUUCAAUAUUAAUAAAACUUUGAUACCUUGAGAUUUAUAAUGGUAUCACAACAGUGAUCCUGCUGCUCCGACAACGUCCAUGGCAGGCGACGAUACUCCGGUGGCGAAGGACAACGGCGGCAACGUCGUUGACUACAACUCUCCAUAUUAUCUUCACCCUUCCGAUUACCCUAGACAAAUGCAAGUUAAUGAUGCAUUGUCAGAAAAAAAUUAUACGGAUUGGGUGUAGGAGAUGGAGAACUUCCUGUUCGCUAAGAAUAAGGUUGGCUUCAUCGACGGCUCGAUCAAGAAACCUAAAGAGACAUCCAAGGACUACAUGCCAUGGAUGAGAGUAGACGUAAUGAUUAAAGGGUGGCUUACAGCCGCUAUGGAGAAAGAAAUAAGAUGUAGUGUCAAGUAUGCCAACACCGCUGCAGAGAUGUGGAAAGAUCUACGAGAAAGGUUUGGGAAGGAAAGCGCACCGAGAGCUUAUGAACUAAAGAAAAAGAUCGCUACUACACACCAGGACGGGACCACUGUUUGAGCCUGUUACACGAAGCUUCGGUCUCUAUGGGAUGAAAUUCAGUCCGUAUCUCCUAUCCCACGGUGUAGCUGCAACAGGUGCACAUGUGAUAUUGGAAAACGGUUGGUUGAACAUCAAGAAAAAGAAAGGUUGUACGAGUUUCUCAUGGGGCUUGAUAACAAAUUUGCAGUUAUCAAAACCCAAAUCUUAGCCACCAAACCGACCCCGGGACUCGGUACCGCAUACCACCUAGUUGCUGAAGAUGAACGACAGAAGCUUAUCACCGAAGACAAGAGACCAUCUGUUGAAGUCGCCGCCUUUAAGGCAUUUGUUCCACAAAAACGAGACAACUCAUACACGACACAGCAGAAAACAAAACUCCAUUCCAAAUCAGGAAAGCAAAAAGAAGUACAACAUUGCACCCACUGUGAUCGUGACGGGUCGAGAAGGUUGUUUCAAACGCAUAGGAUAUCCGGAGUGGUGGUCGGGUAAAGCAAAGGGAGACAAGUCAAAGCUGAAGGCUUCAUGUGUCGAAGGAGGCUCUAGCCCGAUCCCUGGGCUCACCAUGGAACAGUACAAUGCCUUCUUAAAACAUUUUAAGGUGGAACCAGCACAGGUGACGAAGGAAACAAGAGAGUAGCAAACAUGACAGGUAGAUUUGAUGACAAAGAUGAUUGGGUGGUUGAUUCGGGAGCUACCGAACACACAACCUACCUGAGUGACAUCCUUGUUAAUAAAAGAAAAGAUGAACACGAGAUGCCUGUAAUCAUUCCAAAUGGUGAUAC
rnacentral:lncRNA from 1 species